rnacentral:rRNA from 1 species
UACAGAGGGUGCAAGCGUUAAUCGGAAUUACUGGGCGUAAAGGGCGCGUAGGCGGUUUAGUAAGUUAUGUGUGAAACUCUGGGCUUAACCUGGGACGUGCACAUAAUACUGAUAAACUAGAGUAGAGUAGAGGAAAGUGGAAUUUCCGGUGUAGCGGUGAAAUGCGUAGAUAUCGGAAGGAACACCAGUGGCGAAGGCGGCUUUCUGGGCUCAUACUGACGCUGAGGCGCGAAAGCGUGGGGAGCAAACAGGAUUAGAUACCCGAGUAGU